rnacentral:rRNA from 1 species
UACGGAGGGUGCGAGCGUUGUCCGGAAUCAUUGGGCGUAAAGGGCGCGUAGGUGGCGGGACAAGCGUGCGGUGAAAGCUCGGGGCUCAACCCCGAGUCGGCCGUGCGAACUGUUUUGCUGGAGCACUGUAGAGGCAGGCGGAACUUCCGGGUGUAGCGGUGGAAUGCGUAGAGAUCCGGAAGAACACCGGUGGCGAAGGCGGCCUGCUGGGCAGUUGCUGACACUGAGGCGCGACAGCGUGGGGAGCAAACAGG